GGGGGGUUAGGUAAAAGUAAACCAUUGGUCUUCAAAACCAAAAAUGUGGGUGCAAAUCCC
rnacentral:tRNA from 1 species